CCUACGGGUGGCAGCAGUGAGGAAUAUUGGUCAAUGGGCGCGAGCCUGAACCAGCCAAGUAGCGUGAAGGAUGACUGCCCUACGGGUUGUAAACUUCUUUUAUAAAGGAAUAAAGUGAGGCACGUGUGCCUUUUUGUAUGUACCUUAUGAAUAAGGAUCGGCUAACUCCGUGCCAGCAGCCGCGGUAAUACGGAGGAUCCGAGCGUUAUCCGGAUUUAUUGGGUUUAAAGGGUGCGUAGGCGGCCUUUUAAGUCAGCGGUGAAAGUCUGUGGCUCAACCAUAGAAUUGCCGUUGAAACUGGGAGGCUUGAGUAUGUUUGAGGCAGGCGGAAUGUAUGGUGUAGCGGUGAAAUGCUUAGAGAUCAUACAGAACACCGAUUGCGAAGGCAGCUUACCAAGCUACUUCUGACGUUGAGGCACGAAAGCGUGGGGAGCAAACAGGAUUAGAUACCCGAGUAGUC
rnacentral:rRNA from 1 species